UCAGGGGGACCUGAAAAAUGCUGGAACUUGAGCAGGACCAGGGGUUCUGAGGGGAGCCAGGGGCACUGAGGGUGACAGGAUUUGUCUGAAGGGAGCCUGCAGCUCGAGCCAGAUGUGCAAUCCUGACACAGAUCAGAGCACACACAGGUAAUGGUUGCAAAAACACACUUAGCUCCUUCUCAGUGUUACCACAACUCAACACCUCCCAAAAGUCCAGAGCCUUACUCAGACCAUGGCACGCUUUGCCUGGGACACAGCUGAAAUAUUCCAAACACAAUGCACAAGAAGCAUUCAUCUCUGGGAUAAAUCUCACUUAGUGAAGCUUUUGGAACCAGUACAGUCAUGUCUUGGUAACAUGAAGAAAAUCAACAAGAGAGCAGCCAGAUUCCCUUAAAAUGAUGUUUGGGAUACAAGUGGGCUUGUUGCCUUGCUCCUCCUGGAAGCAUCUCCUUUGGAGAGACUGAAUGUGGUAAAAUGUAAAAGGCUGCAGCACUUCCUGUGUUAAAAAAGCUGGUUUUUAAUGACCUGCUCUAUUACCAUCCCAGCAGACUGGGGUUUGUAUGUGCAGCUGGGAAUCUAUUUUUGUGCUCUGCAUGAGUAUUGGGGCAGGUUUCAGGGUUGGGACCUCAGAGAAGUAAAUCAAAACUAAAUCAAAACUCUGCUUAAGGACUCAAACUGUCUCCUGUGGAGCUUAAAGUCUCUUUUUAUUACUGGAAUGCUUUUUCACAGAACUGGAAGUUUAGUGUUUCUGAGGCUUUCCUAAGUGAGGGCAAGUUAUUACAGUAAAGGUAUAACCUUUAUUACUAUAUAAUAAAGGUUAUACCUAUAUAAUAUAUAGGUAUAGGUAUACACCUAUAUAUAUAUUAUAUAGGUAUAACCUAUAUCAUUCUUUAUUACAGUUUUUUAUACCACCCAGCUAACUUUGCUGAAUUCAUUGAUUAUUAUUUUCCCUGCUGAAACAGAUUCUGUAAUUAACAGUUUGUAUCUUUUCGUGCCAGGCUGGAGGGGGCUUGGAACAACCUGAACUAGUGGAAGGUGUCCCUGCUGGUGCCAAGGCCAGCUGAGGGAUGAUAUUUUCCUUACUGGGACACACGCCAUGUUUGUCUCCAGUACUUUUCUGGAAGAAACCAACAUUUUCUCGUUUAUCCGCGCAGAGGGGGCAGCGCUGAUGCCCCGUUCCGGCUGGAAUCCCGGGGCUGCCUGCCCUCCUGGCCCUGGCAGGGGCGCGGCAGUGCCAUUCGUGUCCCGCUGUCCCCGUCCUGCCCUUCCUGCAGCGCGCUGGGCGUGGGACGGGCGCCGAGAACGCCGUGGGAGCGCAGGAAGCGCCGAUCAGGGCCAGGCGAGCGGGGAUGGCCGGAGCCAGGACAUUCUGGGAAGCUCCCAAGGUUUGCAUCACACUUCUGCCACAGCUGACUUGGACCCUCUGGAGCUGGAAGCAAGGCUUGGUGCAGGCAGUGGCUCUGAAAAGCAUUCUGAGGAUUUCCAGUAACCAGGUGAUUGAAGCAGACUGAGCACCCUGACAGCAGGAAAGGCAGGUUAGUCUUCAGGAACCCCUACAAUUAUUUCACAGAACAAAUCCAAAUCCACAUUGUGAUUUGUCUGUACUGCAAAGUUCAUAUUUGGUUAUUGUAGGCACCACUCCUGGGACUUAAAAAUCAACCAGGAUUGCAUUUUAGUCUGAGUAUUAGAUGGACAUGGAAUUAAAACAGAGCAACUAUGUGCAGUUCUUUAAGUAAUUAAUGUAUAUAAAAUCUCAUUUCCAUACUGAUGCGUGGUUUGGUUUCUCUCAUCUCACUUUGAUCAGUGAAUUACCUCACAAUAAUCUCGUUUUCUUGGUUGUGAUUAGCAAUAACUCCUCCUUUGUUCUGUUCUGCAUCACUGUGUGUUCCCAGAACUUCUGAGAAAAGGAUCUUUUUCCCUGGAUUAGUCACGGUGUUUGGACAAACAUGGCCUUGUUUCCUCAAGAAAUGUAUCAGCACCACUGUGUUUAUUUCUCCACAGCCUUAACCAGCAGGAGGAUGGGGGAGCCCAGCUGAACAUUUGGAUGUAAAAAUCUGGUGAAAUCUCAGCUUUUCCAAAGCUCAGUGUGGGCAGUGUGGUGCUUUUCAUGAGUGUGGAGUGCCUGGCCAGUGUUGAUCCUGUACAAGCUCCAAGGGAAGGAGGAGAACAAUGGAGGGGAGUGAGUGCUGAGGGCAUUUCCAGCACAAUGAUGGGAAAUGCUCCAUCAGCACAGAGCCCUUCUUUCUCCCUGCCCUGCUGGAUCCUCUGGCUCCAGAGCCUCUGCCCCAGGGAAUGGUGACCAUGGAAAACUCCUGGAUUGCAGGGACACCGUUGGGAAGGCCCAGGGAACCUCAGGAUCCUUUCCUGCUGCUGAGGGACUUACACUGAUUCCAACAGCUCCAAAGGUCAGAGAUUUAUUGUUAAUGAAUUGUUUUUCCAGCCUUCUUAACUCUAAUGAUCAGCUUUCCAUAUUUGUGGUGAUGGCAGGGUUUCAGAGGUACCUCAUUUAUACCCGAAUUUGAUUCAGGUUUGAUUUGCCAUUUCUUAGCCAGACUCUUCAAAGGGAGGGGAGUGGUGUUAAUAUUUCACAUGGCUGGGGAGGAAAUGCCUGGCACUCCCAGGGGAAGAGUCACAGCACCUGUGCUGAACUCACCCCGAUUUUUGGCAGGAAUGAUCUCAUUGCUCAUUGUGAGUGGAACAGAAAACAAUUCUGACACAGAGCAAGAGAAGCCUGGCUCAGGAGGUGCCAUCACUGCAGUCUGAGAAGGUUUCAGUGAGCUGGAAGAGAAAUAGGUUGUGUGUUCAAAGAAAUGUCAGGGGGUAGAAGAUCAAUACCAAAAUCAAACCAAAUCAAUUCUUCCUUCUUUUAUUUUUGCUGUGUUUCCAUCUUUCCAUUUGCUGUGUUUCCUUUCCAAAGCAAGGAAGGGGCAGGAGUUUAGGAGAGUCUGGUUCAGGUCAGUCUUGCUCAUAAAGCAAUUUGGGUUCCCUGAUCAAUUUAUUUAAUUAACUAAAAAUGCAGAAUUUGAGAAGCUGUUGGAUAGUUGUGCAUUUUUCUGCAGUUGGCUGCAGGAGACUUUUCUCAGACUAUUGCCUGAAGGUUGGGGGUGUCCAGCCUGGAGAAAGAAAAAGAUCUGGGGAGAUUUAAUUGGGAAUUCCAGGACCUAAAGGGAUUUAACUGGAGCCUUCCAAGACCUAAAGGGAGCCUGAAAGAGCUGGAGAGGGACCUUGGACAGGGACCUGGAGUGCCAGAACAAGGGGGAAUGGCUUUAAACUAACA